rnacentral:rRNA from 1 species
UACAGAGGGUGCAAGCGUUAAUCGGAAUUACUGGGCGUAAAGCGUGCGUAGACGGUCAUGUAAGUCGGGUGUGAAAGCCCCGGGCUCAACCUGGGAAUUGCAUUCGAGACUGCAUGGCUAGGAUGCGGAAGAGGGAAGCGGAAUUUCCGGUGUAGCGGUGAAAUGCGUGGAUAUCGGAAGGAACACCAGUGGCGAAAGCGGCUUCCUGGUCCAGCAUCGACGUUCAGGCACGAAAGCGUGGGGAGCAAACAGG